AACGGUCUAUACCUGCGGUACCUGCGGAGGGAUCAUCACCGAGUUAUCAACUCCCAAACCCCUGUGAACAUACCCGAACGUUGCCUCGGCGGGACCGCCCCGGCGCCCCUAGCGGCCCGGAACCAGGCGCCCGCCGGAGGACCCAAACUCUUGCUUUAAACAGUGGCAUACUCUCUGAGUCUCACAAACAAAAAAUAAAUCAAAACUUUUAACAAUGGAUCUCUAGAUCGGAAGAGCACA
rnacentral:misc_RNA from 1 species